rnacentral:rRNA from 1 species
UACGGGGGGAGCAAGCGUUGUUCGGAUUUACUGGGCGUAAAGGGCGCGUAGGCGGUCGUGACAAGUCACUUGUGAAAUCUCCGGGCUUAACUCGGAACGGUCAAGUGAUACUGUCGGACUAGAGUACAGAAGGGGCAACUGGAAUUCUCGGUGUAGCGGUGAAAUGCGUAGAUAUCGAGAGGAACACCUGCGGCGAAGGCGGGUUGCUGGGCUGAUACUGACGCUGGAGGCGCGAAAGCUAGGGGAGCAAACAGG